rnacentral:lncRNA from 10 species
GAUAAAGCAGGCAGAAGAACCUGGAAGGACUAGAUUGGCUGAGUCUUCCAGCCUUCAUCUUUCUCCUGUACUGGAUCCUUCCUGCCCUCAAAUAUUAGACUGCAACUUCUUCUUUGGACUCUUGAUCUUACGCCAGUGGCUUACCAUGGGUUCUCAGGCCUUCAGCCACAGACUGAAGGCUGCAUUGUCAGUUUCCCUACUUUUGAGGUUCUGGACUCUAACUGGCUUCCUUGCUCCUCAGGGUGCAGGCGGCAUAUUGUAGGACUUCACCUUGUGAUCGCGUGAGUCAAUAAUCCUUAGUAAAUUCCCCUUCAUAUAUACAUCUAUCCUAUUAGUCCUGUCCCUCUAGAGAACCCUAACUAAUAUAUCUGUUAUAAGGUAAAGAGUUGAUACAAAUGAAUAUUUUAGAGGAUUAAGAAUAUUUACCAGUUUUUCUUUUUGUUUUUACGUUUAUUUUAGCUCAUCACAUGUGGAAUUACAUCAUUUGUGUAGAAGAACUUAAGAAAAUAAGGACGUGCUUGCUCCCCCUUCAUCUUCCACUAUGAUCAUCAGCUUCCUGAGGCCUCCCUGGAAGCUGAGCAGAUGUUGGCACCAUGCUUCCUGUAAAGCCUGCAGAACUGCAAGCCAAAUCUAUGGAACUGACAGAAAAUAGAAGGUUUGCUUCACAUACUGAUGAGGUACUUUGCAUCCAAAGAAACUUCAUAUCAAAAACCAAUAGAUAGACUAAUUAUUACUACAAGAAAGAUGCUGAUAACGAUGCCAUGCUGUACCAGUGUAAGGAGAGAUAUAUACCCGAAUCCCAAGGUCAACCUGUGUCCCACUGUUAGCAUCUCCUUUCAUAGCUGUGUUGCCAGGACCAGGAUUUGCCAUCAAUUCCUCUCCAACCUGUAAUGUCAACUGCUCUUUCCACUGACUCCUACUUCCAACCCAAGUCUAAAGUCAAACUGACGUUUUUCCCAGCCAGGAAUGACAGAAACCAACAGUGGCAGCAAUAACAACAACUAAAAAAACAACAGACACUCUCGUGGUUAAGGAAGUUGCUCCGAUUUUCAUGUGUUGAAAUACAUAUAAAUGCAUCUCUGGUGAUCACAGAUGCUCAUGUCAACAAGCCUCCAUUAUCUCACAUCCCUGAGUCACUCCAAGGGCAGAUUGAUCUAAUGAUCUACGUAGGACAUGUACACGAAAUGCAAACUUUCCAUUUGUCAAGCAAGCAAAAUUUUGAAGUUACUUUAUACUGCGGAAUUACUGACCCCACUGUGACUGUCAGAAUAACAACAUGUGUCUUCAUUCGUUUCUGUAAUAACUGUGCUACCCUACCUGAUAUCUUCUGAAUAAAAGGAUAUCUAAACACUUGGACUCUGUUACCAUCUUUCCUUCAAAAUACCAUGUUAUUGAUUCUGUAUUUUAAAUUCCUCUAUUUUAAAUAUACUGAUUUUAAUAGUCAAGGCUUAUUAACCAUUAUCCAUAUGUCC